UCGUGCUAAACGGGGAGCUAGCGGUGCCCUAUACCGGAAAUCCGCUUAUGCCGGGUUGAAUUCCUGUCUAAGGCUUCUCUUCUUUCAGGGACUGACUCUAUUUUGGAAGACGUUGAUCGCUGGGCCUUAUGUGAUUUCUGGGUUACCCAACCCCGUCAGGUCCGGAAGGAAGCAGCGGUAAGUAAUCCCAGAAUUGCCAUAAGCCAACCUGGUAGGAGUCAACCUGUAGAGGAUCGCCUGAAGGACGAAGGUCGAAGAUGGGUGCACGA
rnacentral:SRP_RNA from 1 species